rnacentral:rRNA from 1 species
UGGGGAAUCUUCCGCAAUGGACGAAAGUCUGACGGAGCAACGCCGCGUGAGUGAAGACGGCCUUCGGGUUGUAAAGCCCUGUGAUCCGGGACGAAAGAGCCGGAGGUGAAUAGCCUAAGGAAGCGACGGACCCGGAAAAGCAAGCCACGGCAAACUACGUGCCAGCAGCGGCGGUAAUACGUAGGUGGCAAGCGUUGUCCGGAAUUAUUGGGCGUAAAGCGCGCGCAGGGGGCUUCCUAAGUCCAUCUUAAAAGUGCGGGGCUUAACCCCGUGAUGGGAUGGAAACUGGGGAGCUGGAGUAUCGGAGAGGAAAGUGGAAUUCCUAGUGUAGCGGUGAAAUGCGUAGUGAUUAGGAAGAACACCGGUGGCGAAGGCGACUUUCUGGACGAAAACUGACGCUGGGGCGCGAAAGCGUGGGGAGCAAACAGG